rnacentral:snRNA from 1 species
GGAUGAGAAGGCAAUUUGAUUGCGAUGUCUGUCACCCCUUUGAUCACCAGGGUUAGUUUGGCUGACCUGGCAGACUGGGCAGGUGUCCUUCUUCCCUCACCACUUCAUGUGCAUCUCUCCUGAAGCUGUGCGCUUGCUUGAGGAAGAUGACCAUCCCUGCUAGAGGAGGACCAUUCUUUGGUCAGGGGUAUAUGAGUAGCUGCGCUCCCCUGCUAGAACCUCCAAACAAGUUCUCAAGAUAUACAAAUAACACUGGGCAUGGUGGCUUAAGCCUGUAAUCCCAGCACUUUGGGAGGCCAAGG